UCAAAAAAUUUAUGUCAUAUACAAAAAACCAUCAAUAAAAAAUAUAAUUCUCCAUCUACAACAAGAAAAAUGAAAAAUUAUAAACAUAUAAAUUUAAAUUAAGAAAAACUAACAUUGGAAAAACAAGAAGUUAAUAUAAAAGAAAAAAACCGAUAAAUAAUAUUAUAAAUAAGAUAAAUUUAUAAGACACAUUCGCGCAGAAAAAAUCUCUAGUUGUUUUAAAUAGUUUUGAUACCUAACAGAUAGGAGACUAAUCUCCUUAAGUAAUACACAGAAAUAGCAAACGACAAUAUAUUGUCGACAUAACAUACUAGCCUAAUAAUAGUGAACACUCUGAUAUCUUCUCUUGGUUACUUUAGCCACUUCCAUUGAACUCCCUUGCUUCAUGCAUGUGCUCCAACGUCACUUUUCUUGUAAGUAAAUGGUGACCAAAGAAUACUAACCGUCAUGUCGCAGAUAUGCUUUUGAGUUAAAGUGAUGCAUCACUUUGUAGUGCUUUAGAGCAUGAUUAAUGCAUGUCUCUUAGAAUCAACUUCUUAACGUAAUAUAAAAUACGGUUUGAUAUAAGAGAUGUUUCUUAGGUUUUUUAGUUAAAAGCUAAGAGAUUGUAUCUUAUAUUACGCUAAUAACUUCACCCUAAUUAAGAGUAUGAUUAAUAAGAAGUUCUUAAGUUGGAGUUCUUAUCAAAAUAUAAGAAUCCGUCUCUUAACUUAACUAGAAUAGCUAAGAACCAGCUUUUAAAUAUUUUAUUUAAGAGUCAGUUCUUAGCUUUUUUAGUUAAAAGUUAAAAAACGGUUUUUUAUUUUCCGAUAAGAACUCUACCCUAAGAAGUAAGAACCUUCAUUAAUCAUGCUCUUAGAACUGUAUUUGCGGGAGGAUCUUUUUCUUUUUCUAAAUAAAUGCAUUUAUAGCAAAAUAAAAUCAUAUAUUUGGAUUUAGCGGAAAAAAAAAAGAACACUUGAGCUUGAUCGAAUCAAUAUAAUAACAGUAUAUUUGUUUGGGCUAUGUAAUGCUCCAAAAAUCAUUUGUCAAUCAAUCCUAUAACUGUUGGGGAAAAUUUAAUAUACUCUCUUAUACUUUUAAUAGAUGACGUUUUGGAAAAAUUUACUUGCAUUAAAUUAGAUGACGUUUUAAAUUUUAAUGCAAUUUUUUUGUAACCUUACAUGUUAUAUAACUUUUAUUUCCUACAGUAUGUUAUUAAUGGAUUAAAAUUUGGUUAGGUUGAUAGUUAAUAAUGUUUUUAUUCUAAAAAAACUGUAAUAAGAAUUUUUUUUUUUUAAUUUGUGUGCGCAAGUAUAAAACGUUAAGUAAUAAAAAAACGGAGGGAGUAGCUUUAUUGAUUUUCUUUCUAUAAUUUAAUUUGACUAAAUUAAGUACCGUUACUUUAUUAAUCUAUAAAUAGGGUUUCACAAUUAAAUGAAGACCAUUCAUAUUAUCUUCAAUCUCUAAAACUGUAUGGAGAAAAUAUCAAUGAAACUUGCAUUCUUUAUCUUCAUAGCUAUUAGCUCCGUGAUGAGUAUCACAGAAACUGGAGCGAACCGGUUACUACAAGAUGAAGCUUCUCAAACUGUGUUGUUGCACCAUGAAGCUUCUUCGCAGGAGGCUAUCAACCCAAAGAAAAUUCACUGCAAGAAAGGGUGUCAUAUUAAAUGUGUUCCCAAUCCAUUUAUUGUUGAAUGUUUUUGUCAAUGUUAAUUUCAAAUCGCUUAUUAUGAUAUCUAACGUCCAAAUAAGAUUUAUUUACGAUCAGUAAGAUGAUAUUUUAUUACUAGUUUUCCAUCUGACAUUCAUUAACUUUCAACCUUGACUGAUUAUAUACUCAUUCAACAGGUGAUCUAAUCUUAAAGCAAUAUUGAAACUCUGAAAAACUUAAUGAAGAUGAUAUAUAUUUCUCAUAUCGUUCAUCACUCAGAAUGUAAUGCAGUCGAUGAUAUACUCAUUCGACAUCUGCAUUGUGAUACAUUAGAAAAACUACAUAAAAUAUUAAAAUAUAAUAUUUUUUUCUUGAUGUGUGAGUGAAAAGUUUUACUCUUUUGUGUAAAGUUUCUUUUUGAUUGCCAAACUUAAAUUGUGAGUAUCACCAACAAAUCCGUCAAGUAUUAUCGUUUGACUUGUUAUAUUAACUAAAUGUUAUGAGGAAAGCUUAAUGUUUACGACCUUACUUGAACAGGAUCUCUAACACAUGUUCUCAUCUUUAUUUUAGUUAACAAAUUAUUAAACAAUAAGAGAGGAGAGAUUCAUAACCAAAUGAAACAGAUUAACAUGAGAAAUGUCUUACUGGUAAUGAGUUGCUCAACUGAAAGAAUAAAGAAAAAUUAAAAUAUUUUUAACAUAAUUUUGAGAGAUCUCACGCAAGUGGAUCUGUUAUGAUACCAAAGAUGAGUGACAUAUAACAUAAUUCUGUUAACAUAAUCGCAAGUGGAUCUCACGCAAGUAUUCGGGUUCAAGGAGGAGUUGGUUGGGGAGAUAGUUAUGAUACCAAAGAUGGUGGAGGCAGCAGUUCAGACAUGCGUGUGGUGCGUGGUGCCACCAUCAAAGAUGGAAUUUCCACCUUAUGAUGGUACUACAAAUGCAAUUGAAUGGAGUUUCGACCUUAUGAUGACUGUUUUCAUGAUCAAAGAGUGUUCAAUGACGAUGCAAAAGUACGACAAGCUACAUUUGUACUAACUGGGAAUGCUUAUCAUUGGUUUAGCAACCUCCGUAGGUUGGUCACUCAUAGAUUAGGCUCAGAAACAUUAUUAAUCGGUUUCAUAAAAUUUCCGUAUUAUUGUAUAUUUUUUUUCUCUUUUCUCUAACAACGAUGAAAUGUGGAAUUUUGCUUCUCGAUAAUUCUGAGUUUCCGGUUUAUCUGUCAUCUUGUUCUGCCAAAGAGAGAAAAAAAAAGGAAGUGGUUUCAUAAAUUACAAAACCAUCAGGUUAUUUUCGGUUUAGUCUUGAGUUAUUAAUUUAUUUACCCAUUUUGAUGUGGGAUUUUCGGACCGCUUGCCGGAUAUUACUUUCGUUCCUUUACAAAAUUUCGUCGAUCUUGCCUGAUUUAAAUAUUAGCG